CGGGGCGUAGCGCAGCCUGGCUAGCGCGCCUGGUUCGGGACCAGGAGGUCGAUGGUUCAAAUCCAUUCGCCCCGACCA
rnacentral:tRNA from 10 species